ensembl:snoRNA SNORA74 Small nucleolar RNA SNORA74
CCUAGCUGCAGGCAACUGCUUAGGUUGCUUUGUACCUAGGGAAGUGUUACAGUGCUGGGAGAAAAGCAGCCAAGAGCUGGUUAAUACCAAAUUUGUGUUGAAUAUAACAAU